ACAUUCCCCAUUUGUUCCCCUUUUCACUCCAUUUGUCCCCUUCAUGAUCCACUAUUCAUGCCAUUGUCCCCAAACUUACCUUGUCUCUCUCUUGAAUAGCUUUUGUCGUCCAUUGCACCUAGACAUAAGUUUCACUGUAGUUUUUUUUUUGUCAUUUUGUUUCUUCUAAUCUCCAUUUGUCACCCCUCCUCCUUACUCCUCCCCUAUUUCAUUUUUUUCUUCCAUUUUAGCUCCUAAACCACCUCUUUUCUCCAUUUUUAUUCCACCUCACCCCCAACAUUAACCAACUGAAACACCACCACACCACUGUCGGACCUCCACUAUCGUCAUUGGGCCACCGUAAUGUCACUGUGUUGUCGUCGUCGCGUUCUCCAUCAGUUUUCAUCAUUUCUCUUCC
rnacentral:lncRNA from 1 species